GUGCCAGCCGCCGCGGUAAUACGGAGGGUGCAAGCGUUAUUCGGAAUCAUUGGGCGUAAAGGGCGCGUAGGCGGUUUUUUAAGUCAGAUGUGAAAGCCCGGGGCUUAACCCCGGAAGUGCAUUUGAAACUGAAAGACUUGAGUAUGGGAGAGGGAAGUGGAAUUCCUGGUGUAGAGGUGAAAUUCGUAGAUAUCAGGAGGAACACCGGUGGCGAAGGCGACUUCCUGGACCAAUACUGACGCUGAGGCGCGAAGGCGUGGGUAGCAAACAGGAUUAGAUACCCUGGUAGUCCACGCAGUAAACUGUGAACACUAGGUGUAGUGGGUAUUGACCCCCGCUGUGCCGAAGCUAACGCAUUAAGUGUUCCGCCUGGGAAGUACGACCGCAAGGUUAAAACUCAAAGGAAUUGGCGGGGGCCCGCACAAGCGGUGGAGCAUGUGGUUUAAUUCGACGCAACGCGAAGAACCUUACCUGGGUUUGACAUCCCGGGGAUCCCCAUGAAAGUGGGGAGUGCCCUUCGGGGAGCCCGGAGACAGGUGCUGCAUGGCUGUCGUCAGCUCGUGUCGUGAGAUGUUGGGUUAAGUCCCGCAACGAGCGCAACCCUUAUUUUUAUUUGCCAUCAUUGAGUUGGGCACUCUAAAGGAACCGCCUCGGUCAACGGGGAGGAAGGUGGGGAUGACGUCAAGUCCUCAUGGCCUUUAUGCCCAGGGCUACACACGUGCUACAAUGGCCAGUACAAAGGGCUGCAAACCCGCGAGGGUAAGCAAAUCCCAAAAACCUGGUCUCAGUUCGGAUUGGAGUCUGCAACUCGACUCCAUGAAGUCGGAAUCGCUAGUAAUCGCAGAUCAGCGUGCUGCGGUGAAUACGUUCCCGGGCCUUGUACACACCGCCCGUCACACCACGAAAGUCGGCUGUACCAGAAGUUGCCGGGCUGACCCCGCAAGGGGGGGCAGGCACCUAAGGUACGGUUGAUGAUUGGGGUGAAGUCGUAACAAGGUAACC
rnacentral:rRNA from 1 species